GAGUCGUACAGUUUUAUUUCUAAUCAAGCGUGCUGGGGGAAUCAACUCUUAGGCCAGUCUUGGAUGUAUAGUGAGACGCAGAAACAAAACAAACCCACCAACCACAAAAGCCCCUUGUGUUUGAAUUGAGGUGGCUUCCUUCAUCCUGGUUUCUCCUCAAGUAUCCUUCACCGAGUAGGCUUUCCAUCAAUGUUUCUGAACCCAUAAUGUUGAGAUUUCCCUGACUCACACUCUGUGGUAUCAUCUUGUUCCUUUGUUGUUGUUUUUAAGAGAGCAACUCAUUAUGUAUGCAUCCCUGGCUGCCCUGGAAUUCUAUACAGACCAGGCUGGCUUCAAAUUCAGAGAUCUGCCUGUUUCUGCCUUCUGAAUGCUGGGAUCAUAUAUGAACCACCACUGCCAGCUAUGUCUUGAUUUUUUUUUUUUUUUUUCCAGAAUGAUCUGAGACCUGUGUACUAUGCAAAGAAGAGAUUUGGGGGGGGGGGAGCUAACAGUCUUCUCUGCAUUUUAAGUCCUGUUUUUGUUGAGUUGAAACACUUAUACUAAUGAGUAGACACAAAAGGAAUCAGAUAGGCCAGGUGUAGUGGCUCAUGUCUUUAAUCCCAGUACUUGGAAGGCAGAGGCAGGCAGGUCUCUGUAGAGAGUUGGAGGCCAGCCUGGUCUACAAAGUGAGUACAGAACCCACGUUGGUGGUAUAGUGGUGAGCAUAGCUGCCUUCCAAAGUGAGUACAGGAUAGCCAGGGCUUUUACACAGAGAAACCUUGUCUCAACAAAAAAGAAAACGAAACAAAACAACAAGCAAACAAAACAAUAAAACAAACACAAACAAACGAACAAAAGGUAGUGGGAGAUCCCUGAUUCUAUUUAAAAAGAUAGAAACAUAAAGCUUCUACAAAAGAACAGGCAGUGUUGACAGGAAUCAGGCUAACUGGAUAGAAU
ensembl:sense_intronic Gm43846 predicted gene 43846